rnacentral:tRNA from 1 species
UGGGAUGUAGUUCUUUUGGUAGAAUGUGUAUCUAUCACGAAAAAGAUACUGGGUUCUAGUCCCAGAAUGUCAU